UACACCAAUAGGCAGUCUGUAUCUAGCUCAAGGUUUGUAAACACACCAAUCAGCACCCUGUGUCUAGCUCAGGGUUUGUGAAUGCACCAAUCGACACUCUGUAUCUAGCUACUCUGGUGGGGCCUUGGAGAACCUUUGUGUCCACACUCUGUAUCUAGUUAAUCUAGUGGCGACGUGGAGAACCUUUGUGUCUAGCUCAGGGAUUGUAAAUGCACCAGUCAGCACCCUGUCAAAACAGACCACUCGGCUCUACCAAUCAGCAGGAUGUGGGUGGUGCCAGAUAAGAGAAUAAAAGCAGGCUGCCCCAGCCAGCAGUGGCAACCCGCUGAGGUCCACGUCCACGCUGUGGAAGCUUCGUUUUUUUCGCUUUUUACAAUAAGUCUUGCUAUUGCUCAGUCUUUGAGUCCACGCUACUUUUAUGAGCUGUAACGCUCACUGCAAAGGUCUGUAGCUUCACUCCUGAAGCCAGCGAGACCACUGAGCUCACCGGGAGGAACAAACAACUCCAGACGCACUGUCUUAAGAGCUAUAACACUGCGAAGGUCUGCAUCCUCACUUCUGAGCCAGCGAGACCACGAACCCACCAGAAGGAAGAAACUCGGAACACAUCCGAAUAUCAGAAGGAACAAACUCCAGACGCGCCACCUCAAGAGCUGUAACACUCACGGCGAGGGUCCGCGGCUUCAUUCUUGAGGGCAAAAUCUUUUUCCCUUGAAGACUGGAAAUAUUAUCCAUGUUGUCCUCCGGAAUAUUUUCAAUGACUUGUGCCCUGCCAGCUCUAGCUUUUCAAGGGUCUACAUUCAUCAUCAACAGAUCCUGGGGGUUCAUGCACAGAUUUCUUACCUGGGUAUAUUGUGUGAUGCUGAGCUUUGGAAUUCAAUUGAUUUCAUCACCCAGGUAAUGAGCAUAGUAUCCAACAGUUAGUUUUUCAACCCUUUCCCCCACCUUCCCUCCUCUAUUGGUCCCCAGUGUCUAUUGUUGUCAUCGUUAUGUCCCCAAGUACUCAAUGUUUA